CUACGGGAGGCAGCAGUGGGGAAUAUUGGGCAAUGGGCGAAAGCCUGACCCAGCAACGCCGCGUGAAGGAAGAAGGUCUUCGGAUUGUAAACUUCUUUUAUGAGGGACGAAGGACGUGACGGUACCUCAUGAAUAAGCCACGGCUAACUACGUGCCAGCAGCCGCGGUAAU
rnacentral:rRNA from 1 species